CCUGUCUACAUAUUCCUUCAGGAGUUCUUUCGCUUGAACCAGCUUAGACAGCAGAUUGCGGUAUACAUCAAGAUCCCGAUCCACACCUCGCUUGUUUAUGUUCAAUGCAACACAAAGCUGCAAGAGACAGAUGAAAUUGAUCAGCCAGAUGUCAUAUUACCAAGAGUGUAAUUAGCAUGUUGGAUGCACACACAUAUAACUAGAUA